GGAUUCCCUUAGUAACUGCGAGUGAAGAGGGAAAAGCUCAAAUUUAAAAUCUGGCAGUGCUUUGCUGUCCGAGUUGUAACCUAGAGAAGUGUAGCCUGUGCUGGACCGUGUACAAGUCUCCUGGAAUGGAGCAUCACAGAGGGUGAGAAUCCCGUCUUUGACAUGGACUGCCAGUAUGUCAUGGUUGUGCUCUCAACGAGUCGAGUUGUUUGGGAAUGCAGCUCUAAAUGGGUGGUAAAUUCCAUCUAAAGCUAAAUAUUGGCGAGAGACCGAUAGCGAACAAGUACCGUGAGGGAAAGAUGAAAAGAACUUUGGAAAGAGAGUUAAACAGUAUGUGAAAUUGUUGAAAGGGAAACGUUUGAAGUCAGUCUUGUUGGCUGGGGAUCAGUCCAACUUUGUUGGGCGUACUUCCUGACUGACAGGCCAACAUCAGUCUUGACUGUCAGAAAAAGGUGAAUGGAAUGUGGCACCUUUGGGUGUGUUAUAGCUUUUCAUCAUAUAUGGCAGUUGGGACUGAGGAAUGCAGUGUGCCGAAAGGCUGGGUUUUUGACCACAUUUCGCACUGAGGAUGUUGGCAUAAUGGCUUUAAGCGACCCGUCUUGAAACACGGACCAAGGAGUCUAACAUGCAUGCGAGUGUUUGGGUGGAAAACCCUU
rnacentral:rRNA from 1 species